UUUAUUUCAGGAAAUCCAUUAGAAGAAAAACACAACCAGAUAGGAGAUUGGAGGGAAAAAGCAACAGUUGUCUUAUCACACUUAAAAAAAGUUAGAUGGAUUUCCAGUUAUCCGAAGUGAAGAUGAAGAAGAAAAGGAAGAAGAAGCAACUUAACAGUUUAUGUCAUCGUUUCAGCUGUACAGUUACUCCCAGUAAAUAUGGGAGCAGUUAUAGCUCUUCAAAAAUUAAAAUGAUGUUUACACAUUG